GCGCUCGCCUCGGCUGCACACGUGCUAAAAUCGGAGCCACAUGGAGAGGGUUAGCAUGGCCCUGUACGAGGAUGACUGCGAGUCUGUGAAGUGUGCUGCGUUUUU
rnacentral:snRNA from 1 species